rnacentral:rRNA from 1 species
AACGAACGCUGGCGGCAUGCCUAACACAUGCAAGUCGAACGAAGCCUUCGGGCUUAGUGGCGCACGGGUGCGUAACGCGUGGGAACCUGCCUUUCGGUUCGGAAUAACAGUUAGAAAUGACUGCUAAUACCGGAUGAUGUCUUCGGACCAAAGAUUUAUCGCCGAAAGAUGGGCCCGCGUAGGAUUAGCUAGUUGGUGGGGUAAAGGCCUACCAAGGCGACGAUCCUUAGCUGGUCUGAGAGGAUGAUCAGCCACACUGGGACUGAGACACGGCCCAGACUCCUACGGGAGGCAGCAGUGGGGAAUAUUGGACAAUGGGCGAAAGCCUGAUCCAGCAAUGCCGCGUGAGUGAUGAAGGCCUUAGGGUUGUAAAGCUCUUUUACCAGGGAUGAUAAUGACAGUACCUGGAGAAUAAGCUCCGGCUAACUCCGUGCCAGCAGCCGCAGUAAGAC